GAGCUAUCCCACACAUAAGCAAGCAGACGCUUCACAAGCUUACCAGGAAAUAACCCAGCACCAGCCCGCCGGAUAACAUCCCACCAUGUGCCGAGGACUUGAACUGUUGCCAAUCACCUGCCUGGAGAGGGCGAAGGAGCUGAAAGCUCUUUUUGGAGGUUUGCUGCACAAGUCGGAUCACAGCAUCCCCGUGCAGCC